GUCCCCCACUACAACUUCCUGGAUGUUUUUUUUGAGCUGAUUCUGUUCCGCCAUUUCAGAAGUGGCUCAACGCUUGAGACAUUUAAUGGAGGAUUCUUGGAGCGCCUGCUCGAGCUCAUCAGCAUGUGGGAUGUGGACGUGUGGGAGCCUGCAGCAGAGCUGUACUUCACAGUGCUUAUCGAUCAUCUAACACAGCUUGCUGAAGUACUGUUCUCUCAGCCUCUGGAGCUCUACAGCGACCCAGCAGCCUUAGCCACCACGGUUCAGCAUCUUCUCAAGAAGCACGUCCGACAGAUGAUGGACAUUUUGGAGAAGCUCUGAGCAAUGUCUUUUUUUAUCGCUUUAUUUUUUCUUCUUCUGAUUUAUUUUAUGUUCGUUCUUUUCCCUCACUUCUUUUCCCUACAUUGCUCAAGCUCUCCAUAGGUAAGUAUGAAUUCAUUUUAUUUCUAUAUUUGAUUAAGAUUUUAAAAAUCACUUUCCUUUCCUAUAGGUGUGUUCAGUCAACCCCAGGACUGAAGACGGGCUUAACCCUAGGAUCCCUCAUCCCUUAAUAAUCAUCCCAUAUUAAUCUGUCCCUCUUUUCCUAUCCCACUCCCCUAUUCCUAUAGAUACUAAAUAGGUUAAUAGAAUUUUUUGUAAAUAUAAAAAAUAAAAUAAAAAAU